UACGAAGGGGGCUAGCGUUGCUCGGAAUCACUGGGCGUAAAGCGCACGUAGGCGGAUUGCUAAGUCAGGGGUGAAAUCCUGGAGCUCAACUCCAGAACUGCCUUUGAUACUGGCGAUCUUGAGUCCGGGAGAGGUGAGUGGAACUGCGAGUGUAGAGGUGAAAUUCGUAGAUAUUCGCAAGAACACCAGUGGCGAAGGCGGCUCACUGGCCCGGUGCUGACGCUGAGGUGCGAAAGCGUGGGGAGCAAACAGG
rnacentral:rRNA from 1 species